AGGGAUUUUUCUCCACCAGAACUGGUGAGUUUGGGAUGGAAUUUGGUGUUUUUUCCAAAAAAAUUCCUUUUGAAGAUUCCAGAGAUCUUGGGACAAAUUUUGGGAUGGAUUUGGGAUGGAUUUUGGCUUUGGGAUGGAUUUGGGACGGAUUUGGGACGGAUUUUGGCAUUUUCCUGGAUGGAUUUGGGAUGGGUUUGGAGUGGGUUUUGGGAUGGUUGGUUGGUGGAUUUUGGGUGGAUUUGGGAUGAAUUUUCAGGUGGAUUUUGAAUGAAUUUUUAUAUUUCCCUGGAUGGAAUUUUGGGAUGGAUUUGGGGUGGGUUUGGGUGUACUUUGGAUGGGUUUAGGUGGAUUUUGGGUGGAUUUGGGAUGGAUUUUGGGUGGAUUUGGGGUGGAUUUUGGAUGGGUUUGGGUGUAUUUUGGGUGUAUUUGGGAUGGAUUUGGAUGGGUUUGGGUGUAUUUGGGAUGGAUUUGGACAUGUUUGGGUGUAUUUGGGAUGGAUUUGGAUGGGUUUGGGUAUAUUUGGGAUGGAUUUGGACC
rnacentral:lncRNA from 12 species